CCAGCAGCUGCGGUAAUUCCGGCUCCAAUAGCGUAUAUUAAAGUUGUUGCAGUUAAAAAGCUCGUAGUUGGAUUUCGGGUGGGGUGGUGCGGUCCGCCUCUGGUGUGCACUGCUCCGCUCCACCUUCCUGCCGGGGACGGGCUCCUGGGGCUUCACUGUCUCGGGACUCGGAGUCGGCGAUGUUACUUUGAGUAAAUUAGAGUGUUCAAAGCAGGCCUACGCUCUGAAUACAUUAGCAUGGAAUAACACGAUAGGACUCUGGCCUAUCUGUUGGUCUGUGGGACCGGAGUAAUGAUUAAGAGGGGUAGUCGGGGGCAUUCGUAUUCCGUUGUCAGAGGUGAAAUUCUUGGAUUUAUGAAAGACGAACUUCUGCGAAAGCAUUUGCCAAGGAUGUUUUCAUUAAUCAAGAACGAAAGU
rnacentral:rRNA from 1 species